rnacentral:miRNA from 1 species
UCUAUUAGGUUGGUGCAAAAGUAAUUGCGGUUCUUGUCAUUACUUGCAAUGGUGGAAACCACAAUUACUUUCGCACC